AAGCUUAAAGGAAUUGACGGGGCCCGCACAAGCAGCGGAGCGUGUGGUUUAAUUCGUUGCUACACGAAGAACCUUACCUGGGUUUGACAUAUAGGUUGUAGGGAACUGAAAAGGGACCGACCCUUCGGGGAGCCUAUACAGGUGUUGCAUGGCUGUCGUCAGCUCGUGUCGUGAGAUGUUCGGUUAAGUCCGCUAACGAGCGCAACCCUCGUCGUAUGUUAUAUGUGUCAUACGAGACUGCCGGUAAAAGCCGGAGGAAGGUGAGGAUGAUGUCAAGUCAGCAUGACCUUUAUAUCCAGGGCUACACACACGCUACAAUGGUCUGUACAAUGGGUAGCCAAGCCGCGAGGCGGAGCCAAUCCUGAAAGCAGGCCUCAGUUCAGAUUGCAGUCUGCAACUCGACUGCAUGAAGCCGGAGUUGCUAGUAACCGCAGGUCAGCAAUACUGCGGUGAAUACGUUCCCGGGUCUU
rnacentral:rRNA from 1 species